rnacentral:rRNA from 1 species
UACGGAGGGUGCAAACGUUGCUCGGAAUCAUUGGGCGUAAAGCGCACGUAGGCGGUCGACUAUGUCGGAUGUGAAAGCCUCGGGCUUAACCCGAGAAGGGCAUCCGAAGCUGGCCGGCUUGAGUACGGAAGAGGGUCUCGGAAUUCCCGGUGUAGAGGUGAAAUGCGCAGAUAUCGGGAGGAACACCAAUGGCGAAGGCAGCUUGCUGGGACGGUACUGACGCUGAGACGCGAAAGCGUGGGGAGCAAACAGG